CAGUCGCCACGGUAAUACGUAGGGUGCAAGCGUUGUCCGGAAUUAUUGGGCGUAAAGAGCUCGUAGGCGGUUUGUCGCGUCGGCUGUGAAACCCUGGGGCUCAACCCCGGGCCUGCAGCCGAUACGGGCAGACUAGAAUUCGGUAGGGGAGACUGGAAUUCCUGGUGUAGCGGUGAAAUGCGCAGAUAUCAGGAGGAACACCGAUGGCGAAGGCAGGUCUCUGGGCCGAUAUUGACGCUGAGGAGCGAAAGCGUGGGGAGCAAACAGGAUUAGAUACCCCGGUAGUCCCUGUCUCUUAUAC
rnacentral:rRNA from 1 species